ensembl:processed_transcript
UUUUUUUACUUUAAAAAAAUAUUAAAUUUCAAGUACUAAGUUUAAAAAUGUUUUCGGCUGAUAUUUUUCAUUUUAAAUUAUUUAUUAAAGUUGGGGUCAUUGUAUGUGGCGAUCUAUUUUUUACAGUCUAUGCUCGCUAUCCCAAGGUUCAUUGCGAUCCCAAGGUUCACUGCGGUUUUCCACAAGCCUGUUUCUGCCUAUCAUCAUGAGUGAUUCCUCAAUACUCAGAUUUAUCAUCAAGAUCUCAAUUAUAAGCUCAAGUUUUGAUGACAACUUGGUGAUCUGCAGAAAGCACCACCAUGUAAGGAAGGCCAAGACCACUCUGGAAUCAGUCAAGGGUGAAAUGGAGUGAGGCAUACCAGGAUAUGCCUGGUUUUACUUUUGGAAAGGAGGUUGAACAGUGCAAUAUUUCUUCUAUAGGAUUGCAGUGACCAGACAUGCUACUGUAACUCUCAUGGUCAUGUGCUGGAAUUAGCAGAUAUUCAACAAUUUGGCCAUCUCGCUGACCUGUUGAUAUCAGAAGACCGCAACAGCUCUGCAAAGCAAGUUGGAAAACAGAAUCCAUGAAACUGGCAGUGACUGGAAACCAGUUGGAAGACUUUGGUC